rnacentral:rRNA from 1 species
GACGAACGCUGGCGGCGUGCUUAACACAUGCAAGUCGAACGGAAAGGCCCUGCUUUUGUGGGGUGCUCGAGUGGCGAACGGGUGAGUAACACGUGAGUAACCUGCCCUUGACUUUGGGAUAACUUCAGGAAACUGGGGCGAAUACCGGAUAGGAGCUCCUGCUGCAUGGUGGGGGUUGGAGAGUGUCGGCGGUUGGGGAUGGACUGGCGGGUUAUCAGCUGGUUGGUGGGGUAGUGGCUGACCACGGCUGUGACGGGUAGCCGGCCUGGGAGGGUGACCGGCCACAUGAGGCCUGAGAUACGGCCCAGACUCCUACGGGCGGCAGCAGUCGCGAAUCUUGCACAAUGGGCGGAAGCCUGAUGCAGCAACGCCGCGUGCGGGAUGACGGCCUUCGGGUUGUAAACCGCUUUCGCCUGUGACGAAGCGUGAGUGACGGUAAUGGGUAAAGAAGCACCGGCUAACUACGUG